AUGUCUGCACCGGUGGUCAGCGCCACCAUGGGGGCGAUGAACCCCCUCAUCGGCAAGCUCGCCGCGCUGAUGGGUGACGAGUACAAGAAGCUAACAGGGGUGAGGAAACAGGCCUCGUUCCUCAAGGAUGAGCUCAGCACCAUGAAAGCCCUCCUUGAGAAGCUUGAGCUCAUGGACGAACUGGACCCCUUGGCAAAGAACUGGAGAGACCAUGUCAGGGAGAUGUCGUACGACAUGGAGAAUUGCAUCGAUGACUUCAUGCGAGACCUUGGAGGUGCUGAUGCCAAGAUGGGCUUUAUAAAGAAGACGGCUAAACGUCUUAAGACGCUGCGGAAGCGUCAUCGUAUCGCUGAUCGGAUGGAAGAGCUCAAGGCCCUUGCUUUGCAAGCAAAUGAACGACGCAUGAGGUACAAGAUUGAUGAUUGUGCCAAUUCUACCACUCGUGUCGUUCCCAUCGAUACUCGGAUGUUGGCGAUCUACAAGCAGGAAGCGGGGCUUGUGGGUAUUGAUGGCCCAAAGAAAGAGCUUGUGAGUUGGUUGGCAGAUACUCAGGAAAAAGUCAAGGUAGUGGCUAUUGUUGGAUUUGGAGGUCUUGGUAAAACUACACUUGCCAAACAAGUAUAUGAUAUGAUCGGAGGGCAAUUCAGCUGUACAAUAUUUUUAUCAGUUUCUCAAAGACCUGAUAUGUCAAGCCUCCUCGGUGGUCUCCUAUUGAAGCUUGGGAUGAAAGAGGAGUUAACUCACGCUCACGAGGUGCAAGACAUCAUUGGUCGUCUUAGAGAAUAUCUCACACAUAAGAGGUACCUUAUUGUUGUUGAUGACUUGUGGAAUCAAUCAACAUGGAAUAUCAUGAGUUGUAUCUUUCCAGAAGUCGGGAAUGGAAGUAGAGUAAUAGUAACUACACGAGUGGAGGAUGUGGCAAUUUGGGCGUGUCACAAUGAUCAUGAGUGUGUUUAUAGAAUGGAACCCCUCAAAGAACAAGACUCAAGAAUGUUGUUCUAUAAUAGAGUAUUUGGUUCCGGAAAUGUCUGUCGACCGGACUUAAAAGAAGUUUCGGUUGAAAUAUUGAAGAAGUGUGGAGGGUUGCCACUUGCAAUCAUCACUAUAGCUAGUCUAUUAGCUAGUCAUCAAACAAGAUCAAAGGACGAGUGGGAGAGCAUAAGAAAUUCUCUGGGCGCCAAGUUUGCCAAAAAUCCCACCUUAGAAGAGAUGAGGAGUAUACUAAACCUUAGCUACAUGCAUCUUCCUCUUCAUCUUCGCCCAUGUCUCCUGUAUCUUGGCAUGUAUCCAGAAGACGCAAUGGUCAGGAGGCAUGAUCUGAUUCUACAAUGGAUAGCUGAAGGGCUUGUCAAUUGUUCUCAUGGGUCAGACUUGGAGGAUAUUGGGAAGAGUUAUUUUAAUGAGCUUAUCAAUAGAAGCCUGAUUCAGCCUGCUGGAACCUCAGAGUCUGGAGAGGUGGAGGGUUGCAGAGUACAUGAUAUAAUGCUUGAUCUGAUUGUCAGCAAGUGUGUGGACCGAAAUUUUAUCAACGUGGCAUAUAAUUGUGAAGACGUGGCAAAAAUGCAUGCGUGUGAGUACAAGGUCCGUAGGUUGUCCUUGAAAUCAAGCACCAAUGAUGCAACAUCAGGGAUCAUUGAUACUAGCAUGUCACAAAUUCGAUCAUUUGCACAAUUUGGAGAGUCCAAGUACACACCUCCUCUUUCGCUAUUUAAGUACCUUCGGGUGCUGGUGUUUAUAUUCCCAUUUAAUAGGAAUAUGACAGUCGACCUGACUGCAAUCGGUCAAUUGUUUCAGCUAAGAUAUCUGAAGGUUUCUACAUUCCCAUGCUCCAUAGAUCUGCCUACUGAAAUUCGCGGGCUUGUUCAUUUGGAGACGCUGGAAAUAUCUGGUAGUGCACAAAGCAUCCCGUCAGAUAUUGUUUGCUUGCCACGGUUGUCUCGUCUGAUCCUUCCGAUUCUUACAUGUCCUCCUCAAGGGAUUGCCAACAUAAAAUCAUUGCGUGCACUGCACUGUAUGAAGAUCUCGCUAGAGGAUAUUAAUGGCCUUGGUGAGCUGACCAGUCUGAGGGAGUUGAAGUUUUCUACUAAAGUGGUGGCGGGUGAAAUUGAUGCUUUGGUAUCCCUAAUUGGAAAGCUCCAUGGCCUAAAAUACCUCGCGGUCCGUGCUGAGUCUUCUAAACAUCAUUGCGACCCGAUGUACUCAUUAUCCAACCCUCCUCUCCAUAUCGAGGAACUUAAUCUAUUCGGGUGGACACUGAAGAGAGUUCCCACAUGGAUUGGUGACCUCCAUUUCCUUCGGAUCCUGGUUCUGUGGGUCGACAACUUGUCGAACGACGAGGUUCAUGUUAUGGGAAAGCUGCCCUGCCUCGUCCAUCUGGAUCUAUGGGUGUUCGCUGAAGGCGGGGCCGCAAUAUGCACGGGCUUAUUCCAAGUCCUGAAAGUCCUUCGUCUCUUCUCUCAUGACGAUGUGGCACACAUGGAGUUUCAGAUAGGGCUAAUGUGCAGCCUGCAACGGCUCACUCUAGAAGUAAAUAAUGGCUGGGGUGGUACUCUGCCUCGAGGCAUGGAGCACCUAUUGGCCCUCGAUCACAUCUUUGUAUUUGCCAGAGACGGUGUCAAUCACCGUGAUGUCGAGUUUGCCUUCAGAAGCAUCGUCGAUGUGCACCCAAGACGACCUUCCUUAGAAAUAACUAGAUAG
rnacentral:rRNA from 1 species